GGGCAUGUAGCGCAGUGGUAGCGCGUCCGCUUUGCAUGUAACAAUCUUGCGGAAGGUCUAGGGUUCGAUCCCCUACUUGUCCA
rnacentral:tRNA from 1 species